CGGGCUGUGGCCCGGCUCGGGGAGCGGAGCCUGCCGGUACUCGUGCGGCCCUGCGGGGCUGUCCGUCUCCGGGUCGCUCCUUUGCAGCUCUUCCCGCUUCGGCUUUUCCUUCGUGUUCGCGCAGCGCUCUGUUGGCGGGGCUGACGGACAAAGGGCGGUGUGGGAGCGGGGUUGUCGGGCUGAGCCUGGCGGGGCAGCUGCCUGAUGUGCGCCCGUCUGACUCCUGUGCCGGGGAGAGCUGUGGAGAAAGGCGAGGCUUUGUGCUUUGGAGCCCCGUCCUGCGGCCUCGCUGGGCUGUGAGGGGCCCGUCCUGUGCUGGGGAGGGCGUGGGAGAGCACAGGGAGACCAGCGGCAGGGAGAGCUGCAGGUUGGCAUAACGGCCCUGCGGGUUUAACUGAAACGAGGGGUGAAACGCCACUCUUAGUUCUUCAGUGAAGUGCUACAGCACAUAACGUUGGAUUUCUUUCAUAUAGCUUGUUAUAAGAACAUACGUUGUAUAAUCAAUGAGUAUAUAGACGUAAAAUCAGUGACAAUACAGAGAAGAAUACUGGGCUUACCAAAAAAAAGACUCCACGAGGAGCCAUCUCCAGGGAGAGACCCCUCCCCAGCGGCAGUCAGCCCUGGAAUGGGCUCUAGCAGAGGUGCAGCCUGGCUGCAGCCCUUCCACUCACACAGCUCAACUGCCUUCACCUGUGCUCCCACGGCUGACUCAGCGCUCGCCUCAGGUGGUCAAUCAGAGGUUCAGGCCGUGAUUCAACAGUUCCUGUACAUACAUCCACUGAAAAACGUGGAGUUUAUGCAGAUAAAAGCCACAUGCGUUGUGGUAACUGCCUUUUUACUUGUGUAUCUACAGGGAGCAGCACGCCAGCACUGUUUCCUAGAACCUGUCGCUUACUGUGCAGGUGAGCUCAGUGUAACUGCGUCUGUAGUUUCUCAUAAUCGGUUGUGACUGUGGCCCUUUAGAUGUGCUCUCCAAAAGAAGCACUGCUAGAAGUGUGAUGGCUUCCAAAUGUGGAAGCAUUUCUGCAGGUGUCCUGCUCUUGUCUUUUAACAAGUCUGUUCAACAGUAGGCCUAAGUUCCCUUCUGCUACCAAAAUCCAGGAAUGAAACUUGACGACGUGAAUGACAGAUUAGGAAGCAGAUAUUACUUUAUUGCAGUGCUUGGUGCGUGAGGGAUUGCUCCUCACCAUCUGAAAGCACACAGAUUUUGUAUGCUUUAAUACACAAAUAUUCAUAGGGUUUCCUCAGAGUGCCCACCUAGUCCCAGAAUUGCUAUACAUAUUAAAAUCUGGUACUAUGCAUAAACCCAUGUUAGUGUGGUUUUUUUGCAAGGGGGCCUGUGGUGGUUGUGAGGUUCCACUGGGAGGUGCUAUCCAGGUGAAGGGUUGUCUGUUAUGUAGGCCAGGUCCUGUACUUGGUCAAGAACCUAUUUACAAAACCAUGACCGUUGACUUAGUUUCUAAUGAGCACAUCAAUCUUGUUACAGUGCUUGUAUCAUCAGCCCUACAGUGUACCUCCUCAAGGCUGGUGAAAUGCUGAGGCUCUACUUUUAGGCUCCAGAAGUCCUGCUUAUCUAGGACAGAGUCUUCUCUAGACAAAAUACCAGUCGGCUGAAGAGUUUGAACUCAUUGCUAAAGGCUCUGAACUUAUUGCCAGGUAUGAAUAUGAGGAUUUAUAGGGUUUUUGCAAGAUGGGAUCCCACAAAGAUCGCAAGCUAUCAUUUGUGACUGCAGCGAGACUGUACUGCUGCAGUGGUAUUCUUUGAGGGGAACCUGAAAUCUGCUGAUAGAAAUGGUUUCUCUGCCACUAGUUUUCAUUAAAGCCAAAUGUAUCUGUGAAGUUAAUUCAUUAUCUCAUAGUAAAGAACAGCUCACACACGUAAGCUGAAUUUGUUUUGUGAAAUGCACAGAUUAUUUUGCUUACAGGGUUUUAAAAUAUACUGUCUCCAGGCUGAACAAAUGCCUAGUUUCACUGGGCCCAGGUGAGAACAUCUGAUUAGGAGUUCUCAUCUAAAUAAGGUAUGAAAUUCCCAGCCAGCUCUCCAGUGAGGGCUGAAUACAUGUGAAGAGAGCAGCAAAAUGUGUGUACCUCCAUCGAAUCUCUGUAGGUAAGCAUUAUCUUGACACUUUCAGCUGGUUUUCAGAGGUGUAUUAAGAACAGCUUAAAGAUACAAAGCACAUUUUCACAUUCUUGUUUGAAAGAUGGACACAGAAGUAUUAUGCAGGUGGUACUUGAACCACAUCCCUUGGCUUCUAACCUUCACUGUCUUUUUGGUCGAGCCUCAGUUAUAAUUUUACUAAGAAAUAUAUUGAAUAUGCUCAAAUUGAUGUUAACUUCCAUUGUCACCAAAGGAGGGCAUUUAAAACCGUGAAUACUAUCACAGGAAGACUGAGCUGUUGAUUUGUAACGGUGAUUUUGCUUUAAUAUGCACUUCUGCCACGUUGAAGUUCUCUAAGUUUAAUCGCUGUGUGAUAAGAAGAGGCAGCUUGUAGACAGGAUAUUAAACCUUGAUUUCUAUCAUACCAAACAAUUGCUGUAUCUUCACCACUUCUUAAAACUGACAUCCUUUCCUUUCAGGUUGACGUGUCCUACUGUAUUAUUUAAGACUUGAUUAUUGCAGUUGAAAUUGGGUUGUUUUUUUUUAGUGCAAAACUAUGUACUUUAAUGGCUGUAUUUCAUCCAUCUUCACUGUGAAUCUGAAUCUAACUUGAUGUCUCACAAACUGCCCAGUUGAUGCUUUCCUGGCCAGGUUUCCAUGUGAACAGGGUGAGCACACAGCUAUGUAGUGUGUCACCAAUCCAAUUGCAGGCAGCACAGUGCUUGGGAAAAGCUUUACCUGGUGUUCAUCAUGAGUAGGAGUCGUCCCCACCUGUGAAGCCUGGGUUCCUGAUGGAGAAGUUGCUGAUCCUCCUCACCUGUGUCAUCUGAGUGGUUUAGAGGAAUCAUGCCAUCGGACACAGAUCAGUAAUGCUUGUUGCUUGAUCCAACUGCUGUAUAGCUGAUGAAUUCAUGGAUUUAAGACAAAUAAUCCGUAUUUCAUUACUAGCAAGUGCUAGAAAUAAAAAUGUACUCUGCACUAUUGCUUGGAAAAACAAAUCCUGAAGUCGUAAGAGAGGAUUAAAGUUGGAAAAAAAUCUCUCAAGAGAAAAACGAAGGGAGUAAUGACAUCUGCUUAGCAGCAUCCAGCCCCUCAGCCUGCAGCACGGACCUCUGGAGCCCUUACACACGGAAUAAAAGGGGAUGCAGUGAGUGAGGAGCAGCAGAACUGCAAGCAGAGCAGCGCUACUGGUGGUGGUGUUCUACCAUGGCAGUAAACAAAGCCAUCGGUUGCAGACUUCUGCACCAAUUCAGGUGGCUCCAUUGAAGGUGUAAGAUUGGAGGUGUGAGGUUUCUCAGCAGUGGGACGUUACCACCUAGCUGUGAGCUGGCUUUGCUCUGCUGCUGCUCUGCAUGCCGUAAAACAGCAAUCCGAAGGGUUUGCUCUGAAAGCAUCUCUUUGUGCCCUGGGCCAGUGACCCCACUGCUGUGCCAGUAAAUCAUGGCAAGCUGGAGGAAUCUCCCUGAUUUCUGAGCUCCUAAUCCCGCAAAGCCUGUAAAUGAUGGCUGGCUUAGCUUUGUUUCUGAUAAAACGAGGCUUAUGAGAUGAUGACAUUUGCUGCCUGUUUCUCCUCCGCUCCGUUCCGUGUCACCACCCAAGAGAUCUCUGGAGCCCAUCAGUGCAAGGCUGUGUGCCUAGUGCUACAACACUACCGCGUGCUGGAGAGCAGGGAGGAGCCU
ensembl:lncRNA